rnacentral:lncRNA from 1 species
CAAAAUGAGACGUGACUUAUGUCACUACAUGUGUCUCUCUCGCCUCUGUAAAAGUUCUUUGUUCAUAGCACCCCUCAGUUCUUGGAUGUAGUGAAGGAGGACAUGAGGAUAGUUGGUGUGGGUGAGGAGGAUACAGAGGAUAGGGUUAAAUGGAGGCAGAUGAUUGGCUGUGGAGACCCCUGAAGGGAGCAGCCGAAAGGAAAAGAAGAAGAAGAGUUACAGUAGUGCCCACUAGUGGCAGCGAUGUGAAAUAACGUGAGCACUAUUUUGUGAGCGGGGGUGUCAUUCCCGCCAUAAGAACGUCAUGCGUCUGUAUCAUCCAAUGAGACUCGUCGGGGGUUUUAACCCCGCGAAACUGCAGCAGCAGAUCAGACAGUGAGUGAAGGGAGAGUGAAGAAGCUGCAGCAUGUGGUCUGCUGGGAGAAGCUGCUGCACCAGGGCAGGUUGGUGUCGAUUGCCCUUCACUGGAAGCCAAAGAAGGUGGCACAGUUACUUUUGAGUGUCGUCUGGAUCCCCCAGUCAACUUAUCAACAUACGCACUGGAUUUUAGGACAGCUGACCUCGACGAGGAGGUCUACGUGUAUCCAUUUGGGGACAGGAUUCCGCCACAGAUGAUGGGGUACAGAAACAGGACGAGUCUCAUCCAGGAGCACCUGAGCAGUGGACUCAUUAGACUGAACCUGUCCCGGGUACAGCUGUCUGACAGUGGACCAUACAAAUGCUUUAUCCCCAAACUGAAGGCUGGCUGCACUUUCAACCUCACAGUUGUAAAACCUGAGGCACCAGACAGGAUAGAGGAUGAUAACAACAGUACGACAACACCUCCAGUGGAAAACCAGCCUGGUAAAUAUGUUUUGAAUUAAUGUCGUGUCUUUGACAAACUUUGGUCGGACUGUAAGAGUCUGAGA